rnacentral:lncRNA from 1 species
CCUGUCUGUCAACCCCACACACGCUUUCCCAGUUUCAUUUUAGACGUCUCCUGAAAGCUGAGCAUUUGUUAUCUUAAAGCCUCUUACCAGUUUGGAUAGAUAUGGAUCUUCCAAAAUUAAUGAGCUCCUUAAUAUCGACACUGUUUAUCAACAUAAAGGAUCAAUUUAGGAAGAUUAUAAAAACUGAAGUUUCCGGAACAAUAAAUGGGAGAAUUAAUCUUCUGAAUCAAGGACGUAUCCCUGAAUCUGGGGAGCUCUCUAUCAAAAUAUACAUGCUGGAACCCUACCAAAGGAAUAAUAAAUCUGGAAUGAGGCUCUGACUGUCUAAUUAGGAAAAGACUCCUUCCUGGAAUUCUGCACAUCUCCCUACACCUUAGUGACGGUUAAAUAAAUAAUUAUUAAGCUUCUGGA